CGAGGAAAGCCACCGCAACAGACCUCGCCGAUUUUCCUCCUCGAUGAGAGCCAUAGAGAGAUCGGCAGCGUGAUUCUUCGUCAAUCAGAGCCACAAAGAGAGCUUCCAAGGUGAGUCACAUCGUCGACGAGAUCAACUGAGGUGGAGUGAUGAAUCGUGGAGGAGAUCAACCGCGGAAGAGGAAGAGGUCCACUGAAUCGUCUCUUUGAUCGUCGAGAGAGAGAAAUGAGUUUCAAACCAAACUCUGUGUAAUUGUAACACGUGUUCCUCGAGACCCGGUUCUUCCUUCUCCUAAUUAAGACCCGUUGCUUAACAUAAUUAUAAUUUUUCUUCUUUUUUUUUUUAAUUACAAAAUCACCUAAACCCCUCCCCUCCCUCCCCCUUCCCCCAUUAAGAUUUCUCGUUAAUCAUGGUUUUAAGAGAUUCUCCACUAGAACUAUCUCAAUGGCUCUUACCAUAUAUAUAAAAAAUUGACAAUAAUCUUUCAUUUGAAAAAUUUUGAUACCUUUUUGAGAUAUUUACUAGUAAAAUAAAAUAAACAAAGUUAAAUAUUUA
rnacentral:lncRNA from 1 species